GGGGAUGCAUGGCAUCGACAAGAGGAUUGUCGUGAAGAUGCGCGAUGCCGAGAGCCGACGAUCUCGUAAAAUCAUCGGAAAACGAUACCUGCCAAAUCUUUGGUAGCAAAGGCGAAGGGCGUUGUUUCUCCGUACUUUACGGCAAACAGCUUCACCCCGGCUUACGCUUUAGUGUAAGCCCCCGUUCCCUCUCGAAGUAUCUGAUAUCGAGUACGGAGCGUCAUAUCUUCAGAUGUAGCGACUGCGACCGCUUCGGCGCACUGGCGAAUCCAUAGGAGCUUGGGCACUGCGAAGUUUUGCACGCUUCAUAUUCGCAGAGCCGAGACACAAGAAACGUGCUACGCAUUGUAGACACAUCUUCCGUCCCUUCUUGCACGGGGGUUCGACUCCCCCCAUCUCCACCA
rnacentral:tmRNA from 1 species